CAAAACAAACAGUGAGUGAGAGCGAUGUACAUCCCUGCAAGCAAAAGGGGGAUAUUUCUAUCGCAUGUCGUCCAGGAGUCACUUCUUAGUAACUUCUGCGCGAUAGAAAGACGAUAGUACACAUUUUACAAAAACAAAAUAUACACGUGUCGCGUAGAAGUAACUUCUAAGUCACUUCUUGACGAUAGAAAGACGAUAGUACACAUUUUACAAAAACAAAAAGGGUCGCGAUCGCGAAGAAUUAACUUCUGAGACACUUCUGCGCGAUAAAACGGCGGUUGAACACAUUUUACAAAAACAAAAGAAAUGGAAAAAAACAAGCCAAAAAAAAAUUUUUUGGUCUUCCUUUUGACCUACGCUAUUAUUUUUCGCCCGAGCGUCAUUUCGUUGCGCGAUUUUUCUGUGUACAGUGGGGUUUUGUAUCAAUUUUGUGAGUUUAAAAAUAUUGAUUUGUUUUUCUAAAUGUUAUUGAUUGCUUAACAUAUUUAAAUAUCCCCCUCAACAAAGGGUGUGAAAUUACGUGCUUAUCGUGAGCUGUACGAUUAUUUAAAGCUAUUUACGGACAAGCUAGCUGUGGACAUUACUUGGCGUGUAACUGCGGAUCCAACGAUUCUCAACAUACUUCAUUGUAAAAGAAAUGGUUAUUAAUAAAUUUCAUAUGUCGACGGAGCUGCACCUAAAUAACAUUGAUCAGCAAAAUUUCCUACAUGCCAGUGACCGUGUAUACAAGCGGACAAAGCCCUUAUACACAAAAUAAAUGCAAAAUAUUGAAAGUAUAA